rnacentral:rRNA from 1 species
UGCGUAGGCGGUUUGGUAAGUCUGAUGUGAAAUCUAUGGGCUCAACUCAUAGUCUGCAUCGGAAACUGCCGGGCUUGAGUGUGGGGGAGGUGAGUGGAAUUCCUGGUGUAGCGGUGAAAUGCGUAGAUAUCAGGAGGAACACCUGUGGCGAAAGCGGCUCACUGGACCAUAACUGACGCUGAUGCACGAAAGCUAGGGGAGCAAACAGGAUUAGAUACCCUGGUAGUCCUAGCCCUAAACGAUGACUGCUUGGUGUGACGGGUACCCAAUCCCGCCGUGCCGUAGCUAACGCGUUAAGCAGUCCGCCUGGGGAGUACGGUCGCAAGGCUGAA